rnacentral:rRNA from 1 species
UGGGGAAUUUUGCACAAUGGGGGAAACCCUGAUGCAGCGACGCCGCGUGAUUUAGAAGGCCUUCGGGUUGUAAAAAUCUUUUGUAUGGGAAGAAAAUGACAGUACCAUACGAAUAAGGACCGGCUAAUUACGUGCCAGCAGCCGCGGUAAUACGUAAGGUCCGAGCGUUGUCCGGAAUCAUUUGGCGUAAAGGGUACGUAGGCGGAUAAGCAAGUUAGAAGUGAAAUCCUAUAGCUUAACUAUAGUAAGCUUUUAAAACUGCUCAUCUUUAUGUAUUGCAGGGAAAUUGUAAUUCCUAGUGUAGCGGUGAAAUCCGCAGCUCUUAGGAGGAAUCCCGGUGGCGAAGGCGACUUUCUGGCCAUAUACUGACGCUGAGGUACGAAAGCGUGGGUAGCAAACCGG